rnacentral:rRNA from 1 species
GACGAACGCUGGCGGCGUGCUUAACACAUGCAAGUCGAACGGUGAAGCGCCUUCCUUUUUGGUGGGUGUGGAUGAGUGGCGAAGGGGUGAGUAACACGUGAGUAACCUGCCCCCUUCUGCUGGAUAACCGCAUGAAAGUGUUGCUAAUACGGGAUAUUCUGGGUCUGUCGCAUGAUGGGUCUGGGAAAGAUUUUGUUUCGGUUGGGGAUGGGCUCGCGGCGUAUCAGCUUGUUGGUGGGGUGAUGGCCUACCAAGGCGGCGACGGGUAGCCGGCCUGAGAGGGGGGUGGGCGGCACUGGAGGUGAGAAGCGGCCGCGACGCCUACGGGGGGAGGCAGUAGGGAAGAUUCCGGAACGGGGGGAAGCAUGACGGAGCAGCGCCGCGUGAGGGGGGAUGGUCGUCGGCGGGUAAUAAUCUUUUUUUGGGGGAGAACAAGUGUGGCAUUGUCUGUGGGCGGCUUGACGGUACCUGAUCAGGAAGCCCCGGCUAACUACGUG